rnacentral:rRNA from 1 species
UUUUGUUUNAUAUUUAAAGUCUGACCUGCUCAAUGAUAAUUUAAAUAGCCGCAGUAUUUUGACUGUGCAAAGGUAGCAUAAUCAUUAGUUUUUUAAUUGAAAACUUGUAUGAAUGGUUGAAUGAGAAAUAAUCUGUCUCUAGUUAAUUUUAAUUAGAAUUUUAUUUUUAAGUUAAAAAGCUUAAAUUUUUAUUAAAGACGAGAAGACCCUAUAGAGUUUGAUUUAUUUAAAUAUUUUAUUAUUUUAGUAUUUAUAUUUUUUUAUUUAAAUGAAUUUGGUUGGGGUGAUGGAAAAAAUUAAUAAACUUUUUUUUUUGUUUAAACAUAAAUUAAUGAUUUUUUGAUCCAAUUUUAUUGAUUAAAAGAUUAAAUUACCUUAGGGAUAACAGCGUAAUUUUUUUUGAGAGUUCUUAUCGAAAAAAAAGUUUGCGACCUCGAUGUUGGAUUAAAAUUUAAAGUUGGUGAAGAAGUUAACUUUUUAAGUCUGUUCGACUUUUGAAAUUUUACGUGAUCU